rnacentral:lncRNA from 1 species
UUCCGUAAGCUCUGACUGCCAUGUGAGAGAGGAACGGGCAUCACCUGAAGGAAAGGAUGAUGUCUCAGGACUUUCUAAGAGCAACAGAAUGUUGGAAACUAUCCAUGGUAGGGAUGCAGUUGGCUAGUUACAAUGCUUGACAUCCCUUCAUCUAGUGGCCAUGGGACUCCAAGACUGUUCCUUCUUCACCUUUCACCAUGAUUGUAAGCUCCUGAGGACUCCCCAGAAGCCGAGCAGAUGCCAGAACCAUGGGUCCUAUAAAGCCUGAAGAAUCAUGAGCCAAUUAAACCUCUUUGUUUUAUAAAUUAUGCAAUCACAGGUAUUCCUUUAUAGCAAUGCAAGAAUGGUCUAAUAUAAUCAGUGACACUAAUCAUCAAUAUUAUCUUAUUAAUUUUCCCAGUUUAUUCAACAUCAAAACCAGUACAUUUUAGUUAAACUCACAUUAAAUGUUUGUAUUUUUUUCAUUUUAUGAGUUGUCUGUCUGUAUUUUUUUCCACUUUUAUCUCAGUAUGCUCAUCUUCUUUUGUUGUUGUUUGACUGGAAUACGUGUUGCAAGUAAUUUUUCCAGCUUCUCAUUUGCAUCUUUUUUAUGAUGGUGUUAGAUAUGCCAAAGUUUUGUGUCAUGUGAAGUAUUAUCUACUGAUACUCCCCUUAGAAUUUUUAAAAAUUAAUUUUAUGCUUAUAAACUUCUCUGCCAUUUUGCAAUCUUCUAUUUACGUAUUUGUUUUCUAGAUGACUAACAUGGCUUUUUCACAAUCAAGUUCAUAACGCAGCUGAAUUUGCAUACUUACCUAACUUGAAAAUUUUCUCUCAAAUAGUGAGUUAUCCUAGAAGCAUUUAAUAGAAAAUGCUUUGUUUCUUAACUGACUUACAAGCUACCCUUUUGUAUACUAAAUCCUUUGAUGUGCUAGGUUCUCCUCCAAGUUUCUUGCAGACAACCAAGAACAAAAUGAAAGAGAAAGAAAGUGAACAAAAGUAGAGUUUAAAAAGCUACAGCCUUUCAAGGUCAA